ACCAGAAUUAGGAUGUGGGUUGACAUUAUCCCAUGGCCUUAUUAGAGUUUAACUGUGUGGGAGCUAUUUUUCCCAUGGCCCGGUAAAUUGUCUUGUCAUGUCAUAAAAACUCACGUAAGUAAUAAAACAGUUUUUGUUGAUUGAUAUAAUGGUUCGUAGGAGAUUUGGAGUUAAACCUUGACUAUUAUAACCGAUAUAAGAUGUGGGUGGAAUAUAUCCCUUGGCCUGAUCAAGAAUAUAAUAAGACAAAAUCUAGUAUGACAGUUCAUUACUUAGACAGGCGAUGGGAUAACCGUAACCCACAUUUUUAUUUCUGGUUUAGAGGAAGAUCUCCGACUUUCAUAAAUACAUUUUUUACAAGGCGUUCAAUACGGUUGCAACAGCAUAUAAAGUACGUAUUAAGACACGCUGGUUCUUCGGGGCCUGGUAAAGGGUUAAGCAACUUUUGAAAAUAA